UCAUUCUCUUCCUGGCUUUGCUGGACGACAAGGGACGAAGUGCGAGGUUCAAGUGUUGUUUUUGUGGGCUUUAUAUUGUCUGUAACAUCAAAAUGUUGAAAGAGUGGGUAAGGGAGCGACUCAUUGCAGCCGCCGACGAAAUCUUCGGACUGUUUGAAAGAACGAUAGCGUCCUACGAAGAGGAACUUUGUCGAGCGAGAGAGGAGACCGAGCGGCACCGAAGACAACUGCAAGCUUUUGGCAACUCUCAGAUUGUGUCACGGGUCCACGGUGAAUCUGAUGUCCAGCAGUGGGGAGGGAGCGCCAGUUUGGAGUGGGAGGAUCCACAAUCCCCCUACAUAAAAGAGGAAGAGGAGGAGCCUGGUGUCAGCAGAUUUCCAAUGACGGGUGUCUCUGUGGAAAGUACAGAGGACAUGGAAAAGUCACCCGAGUGGUUACAAUUUUUUGGUUGUUACAGUCCAAAUGGAGACCACUGCGAAGGACCACCACCAGACAACCCCUUCGGUCCACCGUCAGAUGGCGAAAACGUAGAAGAAACUUUGUGGAACGACGCAGACUGCAAAGGAAGCUGCAAAUCCACUGGCAGAUGGCAGGCGAGACGUUAAGCUGGAGAAGCUCGGAGGAGAGGAAUUUGGGGAUGUUGGGGUUUUACGCAGAGCUGAAGUCCACAAACAGGAUCCUCACGCAAACUGCAGGGGUCCUGUGACGCUCUUGAAGUGGUGCAGCUUGAGGCGUUCAAAGGACUUCAUCACCACAGAUGUCAGGGUGACAGGUCUGUAGUUGUUUAGUCCUGAAAUUGCAGGUAUCUUGGGGACUGUGAUGAUCGUGGACCGUUUGAGGCAGGAUGGGACGUCACACCGUUCCAAAGACCUAUUGAAGAGCUGUGUGGAACCUGGGGUGAGCUGGUCCACACAAACUUUCAAGCAGGAGGGGCACACACUGUCUGGACCUGCCGCUUUGUUGAUCUUUUGUAGUUUAAGGACACGUUCCCCGUCCUGUUCGUGACUGGUCAAUGCAGGAAGCCGAGCAGCGGUACGGCGUCAUUGGGGAUGCGUUCACAAAACCAAGUCUCUGUGAAGCAGAGGGCGGCAGAAUGUGCAAAGUCUUUACUGGUCUUUGUGAGGCGAUGAAGCUCAUCCAUUUUGCUGGGUAGAGAGCACAGAUUUGCGAGCCAGUAAAUUCAUUGGAAUCACAUCACCGAAAGCCUCCAAUGCUGAUGCGAUGCGAAAAAGUAGGAAAAAGCUCAAACAGAAUCCAGAGGCCUACCAGAAACAUCUGGAGAGAGAACGCGAGCGAUACAGAAGGAGAAAGUCCCAGGGGAAAAUAAAACAUAUACAAGACCUCCCUGAACUUGAUCAACUUCAGCUAAGGAGGAAAUGGAGUACAGAAAAAAGAUCACAAAGAAAGGAAAGAAAAGAAGCUCAUAAUCAGCCAUCUACUCCAGCUAUGGCAUCUCCAGAGCCUCAGACUAGCAACUCAAAACAGAAGCGUGAUGGAUGUAAGAGAAUGAAGAAAAAUGAGAGACAAGCUUACGGGACUAUAAAAAAACAGAAGGGUGGGGAUAAACAAUCUCACUAACAAAAUGAAAAAUCUGCAAUGACGUAUGAACUACUUGUCAGAACAUUUCAUGACAAUACUGCAUCAAGCACAAACAAGUCCCCUGCCUCAAAAGCCCCCUACACUUGUGAAUAAGGGCAACAUGAAGAAAAUCAGCAAAUAAUAAACAUUUGCACAUGCAGUUCAAGCCAACGUGAAGACAAAUUAAGUCACAAAAUUCCUCAUUGGUUCAAUUCUUAACAAGUACCGGAUGCUUCACAGGAGGAUAGGAAACCUUCCUCUGUUCGCAAAGCCAGACACCCAAAAAGAGAGAAUGUAACUUCCAAUUUCCUUUAAAGUGAGAGACGUUUUCAGUAUGUCUGCUGCAGGCAAGAAAGAGACCAAAGACUAUAAAAGACAAACGACAACGCAGAUAUUUAUGUGAUAUGAUGUUGACUUUGUAUUCAAUGUUCAGAGUGGAGGAGACACCGGUUAGCACAUCUGCCUCACAGUUCUGAGGACCCGGGUUCAAGUCUCGCCUCGCCUGUGCGGAGUUUGCAUGUUCUCCCCGUGCCUGCGUGGGUUUUCUCCGGGUACGAGUUUCCUCCCAUUCCAAAAACAUGCAUGGUAGGUUAAUUGAAGACUCUAAAUUGCCUGUAGGUGUGAAUGUGAGUGCAAAUGGUUCUUUGCUAAUGUGUGCCCUGCGAUUGGGUGGUAACCAGCUCAGGGUGUACCCCGCCUCUUGUCCAAAGAUAGCUGGGUUAGGCUCCAGGACACCUGCGACCCUCGUGAGGAUAUGCGGUACAGAAAAUGGAUUGAUGGAUGUUGUCCCUGACCUUGUCAUUAAUAGAAACAGGAGUACAAUGUCCACGAUGUAAAGUCAAUGUGAAGAAUAUGUAUUUACAGUGGAGGAAAUAAUUAUUUUAUCCCACACUGAUUUUGUAAGUUUACCCACUGACAAAGACAUUAACGGUCUGAAAUUAAUGGUGGGUGUAUUUUAACAGGGAAGGAUAUAAUAUCAAAAAGAAAAUCUAGAAAAUCACAUAAAACAAAACGUUCAAAUUUUUUUUGCAAUUCAUUGAGGAAAAUAUAUGACCCCUCACAGCAGGUAUUUUGGCCCGCUCUUCAUGAGCAAACUGCUCCAGUUGUCUCAGGCUUGAAGGGUGCUUUCUCCAAACAGCAUGUUUCAGCUCCUUCCACAAAUGUUCAGUAGGAUUUCGAUCAGGGCUGAUAGAAGCUAGAACACCUUGAUAGUCUUGAGAUUUCAUUGUGCCCUGCACAGAUUGAAGACACCCUGCGGCAGAUGUAGAAAAGCAGCCUCUUAACAUAAAAAAGCCUCCUACAUGUUUCACAGGAGGGACAGUGUUCUUCGUAUGUUUCAUUUUUGCAUCUGUGAACAUAAAGCGGUGCCUUGACAAAAACGUUCCAGUUUUAUCUCGUCUGUCCAUAGGACAUUCUCACAGAAGCUUUGUGGCUUGUCAACUUGCAACUUACCAUAAUUUUUGUCCAGGUGUGUUUCAUGAGUUUGUUUAACAAAUAAUUCUGUUGAACCACAAUUUAAAAGACAUGUCUGAUUUUCAUUGGUAAUUUUCAUGGAUUACUUUUGUCAGUUUCAAGUUAUUUCUGUGACCACUGUGGGGUUUUCUUUCAUUCACAGAGCGGUGACCCAAAUUUUGUCAAUGUUUGAAUAUAAUGAUUGAUUAAUUCAACAGGUACUUAUAAAGUAAAAAUAUGAGAGCGAGUGUUUAAUUAAUUCAACAGGUAAUUAUGAAGUGUAAAAAUAUGAGAGGGAGUCGAGUGAAUUUAAGGGACGUGUAAUGAAUACAGAAUACAUUUUUAAUAGAACGUUUGUAGUAACAUUAGACUUGAGAAAACAAAAGAUUACAUCAGUCAACAAGUAUUAGAAUUUUUAAGCAUGACAGGACGAGCUCGGACUUGUAUUGGAAAGAAUUCCAGAUACAGGCGCAUAGGAUCCUCAAUGUAAAAAGCCUUUAUUUCUUAGGGCUCAAACAUUAAAGCACACCAAUGUGUUUCGAACCACUGGCCUUCAUUAGGAUGUUGGUAACAAACAGUGUACAGACCUAAUUAUAGUGCCAAUAUGUGACACUUGCACCAUUUUAUAACACACUAUGUGUUCACACUUAUGCAUGCACCUGCCCAUACACAUGCAUAUAUGUGCACCCACAAACAUUUUACAUUUCACUAAUAACAAUUUGUACAUUUGAUUGGUUUGAUUAUCUAUGCAUAACACGAAUUAAUCUAUUACCCUCUUCUUGAUAUCUACAGUAUGUACACUAUUACCUAUAUGUUUUUCUAAACUCUACUUUUUAUCCCUAAAUACAUGACACUUCACCCUCAAUCUCAAAAUACCAAAAUUAAAUAAAAGAAAAUCAGGGUUUGGAUCAAUCACAGGUGCCUAUAAUCUAUUCAUCUUAAACUCAUCCUGUCAUUCUUUCCAUGAAACUCCCAUCUAUCACCCUUUCCCACCAUUUUUUCCCCAUGCUAUGAGGUUGGUUUUAUCCAUGAAACAGUUAUUAGUUGUUUGUUUUUACUAUUAUAAUAAAUAAUAUAACAAUUGUCUUACUUUUUAUUAACAUAACGUUUGGUAUAAUGCCCAAUAAAAACAUGUCAUUUUAAAAAUAUACGUUUUAGGGUCCGUUUGAUUGCAAACAUACGGACGCACAAUCAGGAGACAAUAGAUGUAUUACAGGAGACCAAGUAUUGUUUUUAAAUUAAAUAUUCUUCUGAAUGUUCUGUUUUGUUCUGCAGUACAGUAGAAAUCCUCUUUGUCAUUUUCAUUUUACAGCAUAAGUUUCAAUGCACCGUUUCAUCAUCGUCUUGACUCAAUUUAGGUUUCUUCACUUGUCAUGAUUUACGCAUGUAUUUGCUUUGUACUUUGGGAAACUUGAAUGUGUGUAAAAUGUCACAGACUUCUGGACGCAACAGUGUUUUCGCAAAAUCUGAACAUCUUGUGU